rnacentral:rRNA from 1 species
GUGUCAGCCGCCGCGGUAAUACGUAGGGGGCGAGCGUUGUCCGGAUUCAUUGGGCGUAAAGCGCUUUAAGGCGGUUCGCUAAGUCGGGUGUGAAACCUCCAGGCUCAACCUGGAGACGCCACUCGAUACUGGCGUGACUAGAGUUCGGUAGGGGACCACGGAAUUCCUGGUGUAGCGGUGAAAUGCGCAGAUAUCAGGAGGAACACCAGUGGCGAAGGCGGUGGUCUGGGCCGAUACUGACGCUGUAGAGCGAAAGCGUGGGGAGCGAACAGGAUUAGAAACCCGCGUAGUCC